AGCGAACGCUGGCGGCAGGCUUAACACAUGCAAGUCGAGCGGGCACUUUCGGGUGUCAGCGGCGGACGGGUGCGUAACGCGUGGUAACAUGCCCUCUGGUUCGUAAUAACUCAGGGAAACUUGAGCUAAUACCGGAUACGCCCUUUUGGGGAAAGGCUUGCUGCCGGAGGAUCGGCCCGCGUCUGAUUAGCUAGUUGGUGCGGUAACGGCUCACCAAGGCGACGAUCAGUAGCCGGUCUGAGAGGAUGAUCAGCCACACUGGGACUGAGACACGGCCCAGAAUCCUACGGGAGGCAGCAGUGGGGAAUAUUGGACAAUGGGGGCAAGCCUGAUCCAGCCAGGCCGGGUGAGUGAUGAAGGCCUGAGGGUUGUAAAGCUCUUUUAUCCGGGACGAUAAUGACGGUACCGGAGGAAUAAGCCCCGGCUAACUUCGUG
rnacentral:rRNA from 1 species